UCCCUGGUGGCUCAGAGGUAAAGAGUUACUACCAAUGCAGGAGAUACGGGUUCAAUCCCUGUUUAGGGAG
rnacentral:tRNA from 1 species